rnacentral:lncRNA from 1 species
AUGACCAAGGAGAGGUGCUGCCUUGCUGUCGUCUUCCUCCUCCUGGCCUCCAGCUCCUGCUCUGAGUCGGGUGUGUGCCUGGAUGGUGGGAGGAGUGUCCCAGAGCCGUCUUGCCUGCACAGUCACGCCACGGGCUGCCGUAAGGAAAACACACCAGGGCGGCUAGGCUUUUCUCUGAGUGGAAAGAGGGCAGAUGCUACCGGUGCUGUUUGUCUUCCAGGCAGAGGAGGCCCUUCUCGGGUUGUGGUCCCACUUAAACACAGACGCUCACUUCCCGUCCCCUACUCCCUCAGUGAAGGUGCUGCGCUGUGCCUUAUGGUAACAUCUUACAGCCUCAUCAAUGAGUUUAUGUCAUGAUGAAGAUAUGAUGGCAAGCUUUCCAGGACAUUCAGCCUUCAGUCACAGUGCUCUGGGAUUACUGGUUUGCUGAAAUAUGAAAUAUGAAUAUAAAAACACCUGACUCACCCAAUUAUUUCCUAGAAUAGUUAGCUGGGUGGAGGCUCCCCGAGUUAAUAACUAAACCCAACCCUCAAAUCUAUUGGCAAAGGGCAUGUUUAAGCUUAAUGACUCUGUAUCCACCCAGAGAGAUAAAGGAGGCUUUGAUAUCCUACUCAGUAGGCUGGGGGAGGGGCAUGAGUCAUUAGGUACCUGGGAACUGAAGGUGUGGCCUAUACUGGGAGUAUUUUGAAAGGUGAGUUGAAGUACUAGCCUAGUCCUUCAGAGACUGCCCCGCAUCAAGCCUGAGGCUGAAGAUUCAAGAAUAGGACUUGAACAAGAGAAGAACUUGUGCAAGGGGAGCAUAGGGCAGAGUAAAUAAUCUCUGCAUUAUGACAUGUGGGUCAAGAGUUAUGCUGGCUCACACAGGAUCCACAAUCCCACUCCAGGGCAUAUAGCCGGACAAAACUGUAAUUCAAAAGGAAGCAUGCUCCUCAUUGUUCAUUGCAGCACUAUUUGCAAUAGCCAAGACGUGGAGGCAACCCAAAUAUUCACUGACAGAGGAAUGGAUAAAGAGGAUGUGGUGUAUAUACAUACACACACAUACCAAUAUAUGGAAUAUAUACUGUUCCCUUGUAUUUAUAUACAAUGGAAUAUUAUUCAGCCAUAGAAAAGAAUGAAAUAAUGCCAUUUGCAGCGCCUUGGGGGCCUAGAGAUUGUCAUACUAAGUAAAGUAAGUCAGACAAAGAAAAACAAAUAUCAUAUAAUAUUGCCUGUAUGGGGAAUCUAAACUAUGACACAGGUGAACUUAGCUACAAACAGAAACAGGCUCACGGGCAUAGAGAAGAGACUUGUGGUUGCCCAGAGCAAGAGGGAUGGGGGAGAGGUGGAUUGAUCAUUUAGGAUUAGCAGAUGCAAACUAUUAUACAUAGGAUGGAUAAACAACAAGGUCCUACUUAUAGCACUCUAUAGCACAGAGAACUAUAUUCAACAUCCUGUGAAAAACCAUAAAAAAGAAUAUGAAAAAGAAUGUAUAUAUAUAUAUAUGUAUGUAUAAUGGAAUCACUUUGCUGUACAGCAGAAAUUAACACAACAUUGUAAAUAGACUAUUAGUUCAAUAAAAUAAAAAAGAGCUGUACA